GAUGAACGCUGGCGGCGUGCCUAAUACAUGCAAGUCGAGCGAACAGAUGAGGAGCUUGCUCCUCUGACGUUAGCGGCGGACGGGUGAGUAACACGUGGAUAACCUACCUAUAAGACUGGGAUAACUUCGGGAAACCGGAGCUAAUACCGGAUAAUAUAUUGAACCGCAUGGUUCAAUAGUGAAAGACGGUUUUGCUGUCACUUAUAGAUGGAUCCGCGCCGCAUUAGCUAAUUGGUAAGGUAACGGCUUACCAAGGCGACGAUGCGUAGCCGACCUGAGAGGGUGAUCGGCCACACUGGAACUGAGACACGGUCCAGACUCCUACGGGAGGCAGCAGUAGGGAAUCUUCCGCAAUGGGCGAAAGCCUGACGGAGCAACGCCGCGUGAGUGAUGAAGGUCUUCGGAUCGUAAAACUCUGUUAUUAGGGAAGAACAAAUGUGUAAGUAACUAUGCACGUCUUGACGGUACCUAAUCAGAAAGCCACGGCUAACUACGUG
rnacentral:rRNA from 1 species